GACGAACGCUGGCGGCGUGCUUAACACAUGCAAGUCGAACGAUGAAGCGGCCAGCUUGCUGGUGGUGGAUUAGUGGCGAACGGGUGAGUAACACGUGAGUAACCUGUCCUUCACUCUGGGAUAAGCCCUGGAAACGGGGUCUAAUACUAGAUAUUCUCAAUGUGCCGCAUGGUGUGUUGUGGAAAGAUUUUUUGGUGAGGGUUGGACUCGCGGCCUAUCAGCUUGUUGGUGGGGUAGUGGCCUACCAAGGCUUUGACGGGUAGCCGGCCUGAGAGGGUGACCGGCCACACUGGGACUGAGACACGGCCCAGACUCCUACGGGAGGCAGCAGUGGGGAAUAUUGCACAAUGGGCGAAAGCCUGAUGCAGCAACGCCGCGUGAGGGAAGACGGCCUUCGGGUUGUAAACCUCUUUCAGUUGGGACGAAGCCUCUGCGGUUAAUACCCGUAUGAGGUGACGGUACCUUCAGAAGAAGCCCCGGCUAACUACGUGCCAGCCGCCGCAGUAACAC
rnacentral:rRNA from 1 species